rnacentral:rRNA from 1 species
UGCCAGCCGCCGCGGUAAUACGGAGGGUGCAAGCGUUAUUCGGAAUUAUUGGGCGUAAAGGGCGCGCAGGCGGUCUUGUCCGUCAGGUGUGAAAGCUCGGGGCUCAACCCCGGAAGUGCACUUGAAACAGCAAGACUUGAAUACGGUAGAGGAGAGAGGAAUUCCUGGUGUAGAGGUGAAAUUCGUAGAUAUCAGGAGGAACACCGAUGGCGAAGGCAUCUCUCUGGGCCGAUAUUGACGCUGAGGCGCGAAGGCGUGGGGAGCAAACAGGAUUAGAUA